rnacentral:rRNA from 1 species
UGAGGAAUUUUGCGCAAUGGGGGCAACCCUGACGCAGCAACGCCGCGUGAGUGAAGAAGGCCUUUGGGUCGUAAAACUCUGUCAACAGGGAAGAAGUUACAAUUGUUUAAUAGAUGGUUGUAUUGACGGUACCUGUGGAGGAAGCGCCGGCUAACUCCGUGCCAGCAGCCGCGGUAAUACGGGGGGCGCAAGCGUUAUUCGGAAUUAUUGGGCGUAAAGGGCGCGCAGGCGGUCUUGUCCGUCAGGUGUG